rnacentral:lncRNA from 1 species
AUUUUGGAAAACAGUCUCCUAGAAUGUUUUAAUGCUCGAAAGUAGUUUCUCUAUUCACAUCAUCAAGUGUUUAGCUUAGUUGUUUAUGGAAUGCCUUGUUUUUAUUUCCAGAAAUAGAAGAAAACUGUUUUAUUUCUUCCAAAGUAUUGUCUAUAAAUUCAAAUUAUGAGCAAGUGAAGGUAGUGCCUUUAGCCUCUUAUUAGUUUAAGGAUCUGAAUCAUAACCUGGGCGACCACUAAAAUAAUAUCAUAGUCCUUUACUUCAAAUUUCUGAAUGCAAAAACAAUAGCAAGAGGGAUGCUGCUGAUUAUAUUACCCUUGGCUCACCCAGCACUUAAUACCCUUUAACAUAAGUAUUGCAUUAAGAUUUCCCCCCUCUCUUUGUAGCUCAUGAUUUCCUGGAAGCUGGCUGUCCAUCAGUGGUGUAUAUAAGAUGUAAUCUACAGUUCAUAAUGGAGCUACUGUACUGGCUAUCGGAAGGAGGAGAUUCAGAAGAUAGGGAGAUUCAGCUGUCGGGGUUUGAAACUUCCUGUGGUCUGUUCAAUCUAGACGCAAAGGACCUGAAACAGUCAAGUGCUCAAGAGGUUUAAAUUGUUUUGGAUAUUCCUAUUUAUAGACAAAAAUAUUUUUCCAAUUCAGAUCCUCAGUUGUUUUGCAGAAGAAGGUCAUACUCUUCUUGAUCAUCCAUUUUAUUUGAAGUGAUUAGUAUUGUAGAGUAUUACCAAACACUUUCUGUUUAAAUCUAAGUAUAGAAAAAAUAAAAUCGUUUCUAUAUGUUGACUUUUUUUCUAA